rnacentral:tRNA from 1 species
ACGGGUUUAGCUCAGUUGGUAGAGCACUGGUCUCCAAAAUCAGGUGUCGUGAGUUCGAGUCUCGCAACCCGUG